rnacentral:rRNA from 1 species
UACGUAGGGGGCAAGCGUUGUCCGGAUUUAUUGGGCGUAAAGAGCGUGUAGGCGGCCAUGUAGGUCCGUUGUGAAAACUCGAGGCUCAACCUCGAGACGCCGAUGGAACAUCGUGGCUAGAGUCCGGAAGAGGAGAGUGGAAUUCCUGGUGUAGCGGUGAAAUGCGCAGAUAUCAGGAAGAACACCCGUGGCUAAGGCGGCUCUCUAGUACGGUACUGACGCUGAGACGCGAAAGCGUGGGGAGCGAACAGG